rnacentral:rRNA from 1 species
UACGAAGGGUGCAAGCGUUACUCGGAAUUACUGGGCGUAAAGCGUGCGUAGGUGGUUUGUUAAGUCUGUUGUGAAAGCCCCGGGCUCAACCUGGGAAUGGCAAUGGAUACUGGCAGGCUAGAGUGCGGUAGAGGGUAGUGGAAUUCCCGGUGUAGCGGUGAAAUGCGUAGAGAUCGGGAGGAACACCAGUGGCGAAAGGCGGCUACCUGGACCAGCACUGACACUGAGGCACGAAAGCGUGGGGAGCAAACAGG